rnacentral:misc_RNA from 1 species
AUUGCAUGGUACGAGCGCUAGAAAACACUCGUAACUGAUUUUUUUGGUUGGGAAUCCUUUCAUAGUUUUGGUCCUUGGAAGCCCUGAUAAAUUUCUGGCAGAAGAACCUUGAUCAGAAAGCGUGAACUUGGAAAGAGUAUUAAUCCCACAUCGAAAUUACUGUAAGCAAAAGGAAAGGAAUGAGGGAAUAAAUAAGAAGGGCAAGGCACUUUAACACGUACUUACCUGGACGGAGUCAAUGGGUGAACAAUAAGGUUCAUGGCCUGGGUUAUUGACUUCCAUUGCACUGAGGAGGGGUGCUAUCCUAAAGGUCUCUCCAAAUGGCAGAGUCUACGUCAUAAUUUGUAGUAGCGGGGGCCUGUGUUCGCGCGGCUCCUUUCAUUUCUUAGUCCAAGCGUUAAUUAGUAUCAGGAUAUCUGUACUAGAGUAAGGCAAGCUGCCAUCAGUGGCAAAAUCGACACGGUUAUAACAGGAAGCGAAAGAAACAAGGUAUUCUGCACAGCUUUAAAGUAGAUUCAAUCAGGCAAACAUCAAUAGAUUCCAUUGGUUGGAGAAAAGGCAAAGUGGCUGGAUGUAGAUGCCAACUUAAAGUCGGUCUUCUUCUCCUAAUUACCUGAUAGAACAAAUCACGAGAAUUCUCGAUUGACAACUUCUGGGAAAGCAUUACAUUUAUGCCGAUCUUUGGAAAUGCCACAUUUCAGGUUUGCCAGUAGCAUACUAGAUCAAGCACAUGAUUAUACCAUAUUGAAAUGACUACAUAAAUGUAAUGUUCUUUUAUCACAAAACUCAUUCGUCCUUACUUUUAGCAAUGCAAAGACUAAGAAGCAAUCAUCACAACCAUCAGAAAAAAGAAAGUGACAAUAUGUGAGAAAUAUGGGCAGUUCCACUGGCCUAGAAUUCUAAUUAACAUACGACCUGAAACACAUGCAAGUUAGAAGAUUUAAUUUCAAUUAUCAGUACAAUGCUCAUGUUGUUUAAAGUGAAUGUAUGCCUGAAACAAAAUCUUAUUCCUAUUUUUGUCAACAAAAACUUAAAAAUAAUAAAAUUGAAAAACAACAUAACUAUCUAAAAGAAAUCGCUCCAAUUGAACCGACUUUAACAUGCGCCUUACAAUCCCACUUGGUAGAAACAAUUCAAGUGUGGUCAGAAGGCUCGAUGCAUCAUUUUCUUGGCUUCUUCACCAAACUAAGUUUUAUCUUCUUAAGACGAAACCUCUUUCCUAGAAAUUUUCUCAGGCAGUGUCUCCCCAUUCUUCUCUUUCUUCACAACUUUUGACUUCAAAAAUUUUGCAUCCACUCUAUAAUCUUUGGGUGUGAUCGGUACCCCAUUACUCAAAGCUUCAUUAAAAAGGGCAUUUACCUUGACAAAAUGAUUAUGAGAACACCACUUCCCCAUCAACAAUUCGUUAAGUCUUUAUCCCAGGUUUACAUCCAUCCGCCUUCAUCAUCUCGAACACUGUCAUAGCAUGCUCAAGCCUCUCAAUACCGCACAAAACCUUCAAAAAGCUGUAAUAAGCCUUCUUAUCAAGCUUAUCUCCAUACCCAGCACUCUUCAUUCGAUCAAUCAUCUCAUCCCCCUCUCCCACCCUCGCUGCCUGAUACAAACUCUUAAUCAAAACAAGAAACGUAGUCUCAUCGGGAUUACACCCCCAUUCCCCUAUCCUGUAAAACAAAUCCAAAGCAUCCUGAGUUUUCCUCAUCUUGCAUAAAUUAUUGAUCAAGACAUUGAAUGUCUCCACAUUUCUUGGAACCCCACGAGAGUCCAUUUCUACCAAUACCUUCUCUGCCUCAGAAUGUAACCUAAACGGAUCUUUUGCCCUACAAAGCUUGCAAACACAAUCAAGAAUCGCAUUAUAAGCCAUUGUACCGAUCUCAAAACCACCACUAUACAUCUCCCCAGCCAACCUUUUAGCCUCCUCAAGUUUCCCAUCAACACACCAACCUUUGAUCAACAAAUCACAAAUUAUCUCAUCUGGGAAAAUCUCAUUAGCCAAGUUUUUCACCAUUCUCUCUGCAUAACUCGCGUACCCAUUGUCACACAACUUAUUCACUAUCAAUGUAAGAGACUCCCUAUCUCGCUUAAACCCAUAAUCUCUGUCCAUCCUAUCAAAAAACCCAACAACCUUGGUAGGCCUCCCUGCCCGUACAAGCCUAUCAACCACUGAUUCCAGACUUUUAGACCCAAUGACACCUUUACCUUCACGAAGUAGCUCAUGGGUAGAUUGGAAAUCCUUCCUUCGACCAAAGUAAUCAACGAAAAACGAUAUCGUUUCAUCCGUGUGCUUAAACCCAGCAGCCGUGACCAGCCACUGGUGAAACCCUACCACUGUACGUCCAGCAUCAGGGGAGAGAUUGAGCGUCUGCAGAACCAACGACGGGGUUAUGGAGUUGGUGAUGUGAGAGAAAUUGAGAUUGAGUCUUUGCGAAAUUGAGAGGGAGUCAGUGUCAGGGCUUUUGACGAGCUCUGCGGAUAUUGACUGGGCUAUGGGAUCUGGGUCACUGCUAGGUUUUAUGGUCAGAGAGGAGAAGGGUCUACAGAGAGGAAGUAGCAAGAACGUAAAUUUAGUGAAAUGGGUAGGGGUAAAGCAGGAAGAGGAAGCGGACUGAGUGAGGAAUGGAGCAGGAGAGAGGCAGCAACGGUUUAGGAGGCAACGAAGUUGAAGAGAGGUGAAGGGAGGCAUUUUCAUUCCAGAGAGAAGAAGGAGAAGGAGAAGAAGAAGGGACCGGCCUCUGCAGAUGUUUAUAACUGGUUUUUGUUUUGGUUUUUCUUGUCGCAGGUGGCUUCCAUAAUUCCAUUUGGGGUUGUUCC